rnacentral:tRNA from 6 species
GCGGAUAUAGUUUAGUGGUAAAACCCUAGCCUUCCAAGCUAAUGAUGCGGGUUCGAUUCCCGCUAUCCGCU